GCGGGAUUAGUAUAGUGGUAGUACAUCACCCUUCCAAGGUGAGAGGACGGGUUCAAGUCCCGUAUCCCGCUCCA
rnacentral:tRNA from 1 species